rnacentral:ribozyme from 1 species
GAGCUGGCGGGUAGGUGGCACCGAGCCGGGCAGCGAUGCCCGGCCCAGAGGAAUGGCGGUCACGCCGGGGGCGACCCCGGUGCACAGAAUCCGGCCUAUCGGCUUGCUUCA